rnacentral:rRNA from 1 species
GCCAGUGACUACAAGUUCAACGGCCGCGGUAUUUUGACCGUGCAAAGGUAGCGCAAUCACUUGUCUUUUAAAUGAAGACCUGUAUGAAUGGCCAAACGAGGGCUUAGCUGUCUCCCCCAUCAAGUCAGUGAAAUUGAUCUACCCGUGCAGAAGCGGGUAUUAACAUACAAGACGAGAAGACCCUUUGGAGCUUAAGGUACAAAUUCACCUACGUUAAACAGCUUCCUAAACAAGCGCAAACCUAAUAGAACAUGGAAUUUUACCUUCGGUUGGGGCGACCACGGAGAACAAAAAAUCCUCCAAGUGGAAUGGGAAUUUCCCUAAAACCAAGAAAGACACUUCCAAGUCACAGAAAAUCUGACCAAAUAUGAUCCGGCCCCCGGACCGAUCAACGAACCAAGUUACCCUAGGGAUAACAGCGCAAUCCCCUCCAAGAGUCCAUAUCGACGAGAGGGUUUACGACCUCGAUGUUGGAUCAGGACAUCCUAAUGGUGCAGCCGCUAUUAAGGGUUCGUUUGUUCAACGAUUAAAGUCCUACGUGAUCUGAGU